rnacentral:rRNA from 1 species
AUUGAACGCUGGCGGCAGGCCUAACACAUGCAAGUCGAACGAGUGGCGGACGGGUGAGUAGUGUAUGGGAAACUGCCUGAUGGAGGGGGAUAACUACUGGAAACGGUAGCUAAUACCGCAUACCAUCGGAUGUACCCAGAUGGGAUUAGCUAGUAGGUGGGGGAACGGCUCACCAAGGCGACGAUCCCUAGCUGGUCUGAGAGGAGGAACAGCCACACUGGCACUGAGCCACGGCCCAGACUCCUACGUGAUGCAGCAGUGGGGAAUAUUGGACAAUGGGCGAAAGCCUGAUCCAGCCAUGCCGCGUGUGUGAAGAAGGUCUUCGGAUUGUAAAGUACUUUCAGUGGGGAGGCGUUACCCGCAGAAUAAGCACCGGCUAACUCCGUGCCAGCAGCCGCGGUAAGAC